UAACCUGCCCAAGAGACUGGGAUAACACCUGGAAACAGAUGCUAAUACCGGAUAACAACACUAGACGCAUGUCUAGAGUUUAAAAGAUGGUUCUGCUGUCACUCUUGGAUGGACCUGCGGUGCAUUAGCUAGUUGGUAAGGUAACGGCUUACCAAGGCAAUGAUGCAUAGCCGAGUUGAGAGACUGAUCGGCCACAUUGGGACUGAGACGCGGCCCAAACUCCUACGGAAGGCAGCAG
rnacentral:rRNA from 1 species